rnacentral:rRNA from 1 species
UGGGGAAUAUUGGACAAUGGGCGAAAGCCUGAUCCAGCAACGCCGCGUGAGGGAUGACGGCCUUCGGGUUGUAAACCUCUUUCAGCGGGGACGAAGCGAAAGUGACGGUACCCGCAGAAGAAGGACCGGCCAACUACGUGCCAGCAGCCGCGGUAAUACGUAGGGUCCGAGCGUUGUCCGGAAUUAUUGGGCGUAAAGGGCUCGUAGGCGGUUUGUCGCGUCUGGAGUGAAAACUCGGGGCUUAACCCCGGGCCAGA